GCGCAGCAGGCGAGAAAACUUUACAAUGUGCGAAAGCACGAUAAGGGAACUCUGAGUGCCUCCUAAGGAGGCUGUUCUGAUGUCUAAAAAGCAACAGAAGUAAGGGCUGGGUAAGACCGGUGCCAGCCGCCGCGGUAACACCGGCAGCCCAAGUGGUAGCCACGUUUAUUGGGUCUAAAGCGUUCGUAGCCGGCCGGGUAAGUUCCUUGGUAAAUUUAGCCGCUUAACGGUUAAGCUUUCAGGGAAUACUGCUUGGCUUGGGACUGGGGAGAGGUCAGAGGUACUCCGGGGGUAGGGGUGAAAUCUAUUAAUCCCUGGGGACCACCGGUAGCGAAGGCGUCUGACCAGACCAGGUCCGACGGUGAGGGACGAAGGCUAGGGGCGCGAACCGGAUUAGAUACCCCUGUAGU
rnacentral:rRNA from 1 species